AUCCUUUCGGUUCAUGCAAAUGAUGAAUGGGAACUUGACAGAGUCUCUGUGAGAUGUACAGCCUUUUCUUGUUUAAGCAAUGCACAUUACCCUUCUGAUC